CGUAACUCAACGGAUAAAAGGUACUCCGGGGAUAACAGGCUUAUCGCGCCCAAGCGCUCAUAGCGACGGCGCGGUUUGGCACCUCGAUGUCGGCUCAACGCAUCCUGGGGCUGGAGAAGGUCCCAAGGGUUUGGCUGUUCGUCAAUUAAAGCGUUACGCGAGCUGGGUUCAGAACGUCGUGAGACAGUUCGGUCCCUAUCCGCCGUGGGCGUAGGAUAUUUGAGGAGAGCUGUCCCUAGUACGAGAGGACCGGGAUGGACGAACCUCUGGUCUACCAGUUGUUCCGCCAGGAGCAUCGCUGGGUAGCUACGUUCGGAAGGGAUAAACGCUGAAAGCAUCUAAGCGUCAAGCCCACUCCAAGACUAGAUAUCCCGUAGGGCUAACCUACCUAAAGACCCCUCGCAGACUACGAGGUUGAUAGGCUGCAGGUGGAAGCGCAGCAAUGCGUGAAGCCGAGCAGUACUAAUCGGUCGUGAGGCUUAACCUU
rnacentral:rRNA from 1 species